ACUGAAAACCUCAGCGAUGGAUAUCUCGGCUCCUGCCUCGAGGAAGAACGCAGCGAACUGCGAAAAGCACUGCGAAUUGCAGAACUCAGUGAGUCAGCAGCUCUUUGAACGCACUCGGCGCACCGCGUGCUUGCUUCAGUG
rnacentral:rRNA from 1 species